rnacentral:rRNA from 1 species
UGCCAGCAGCCGCGGUAAGACGAGGGGUCCAAGCGUUGUUCGGAAUUAUUGGGCGUAAAGCGGGUGUAGGUGGCUCUAUAAGUCAGGAGUGAAAUCCCCAAGCUUAACUUGGGAAGUGCUUUUGAUACUGCAGAGCUUGAAUGUGGGAGAGGAUAAUAGAAUUCCAGGUGUAGUGGUGAAAUACGUAGAUAUCUGGAGGAAUACCGGUGGCGAAGGCGGUUAUCUGGCCCAACAUUGACACUGAGACCCGAAAGCGUGGGGAUCAAACAGGAUUAGAUACCCUGGUAGUCCACGCCGUAAACGAUGGAUACUUGUUGUUGGAGGUAUUGACCCCUUCAGUGACGAAGCUAACGCGUUAAGUAUCCCGCCUGGGGAGUACGGCCGCAAGGUUAAAACUCAAAGGAAUUGGCGGGGGAC